rnacentral:pre_miRNA from 1 species
GAUGAGUGUAGGUCUGGUGCACAUGUGUUAAAAAGCUGUGACUAGAUCCACACUCAUCAC